rnacentral:rRNA from 1 species
CAGCAGCCGCGGUAAUACAGAGGUCCCAAGCGUUGUUCGGAUUCACUGGGCGUAAAGGGUGCGUAGGUGGCGGCGUAAGUCGGAUGUGAAAUCUCCGAGCUCAACUCGGAAAUGGCAUUGGAAACUGCGCAGCUCGAGGGUUGGAGGGGGGACUGGAAUACUUGGUGUAGCAGUGAAAUGCGUAGAUAUCAAGUGGAACACCAGUGGCGAAGGCGAGUCCCUGGACAACUCCUGACACUGAGGCACGAAAGCUAGGGGAGCAAACAGGAUUAGAUACCCUGGUAGUCCUAGCCGUAAACGGUGCACGUUUGUUGUAAAAGGAAUCGACCCCUUUUGUGGCGUAGCCAACGCGUUAAACGUGCCGCCUGGGAAGUACGGUCGCAAGAUUAAAACUCAAAGGAAUUGACGG